rnacentral:ncRNA from 2 species
CGGUGAUAAGGUGAUGGCGUACCACCUUGCCCAACCGCGACUCCGCUUGCGAGCGCUGAUGACGCCUGACACGAC